CCUACGGGUGGCAGCAGUUAAGAAUAUUCCGCAAUGGACGAAAGUCUGACGGAGCGACGCCGCGUGGAUGAAGAAUGCCGAAAGGUUGUAAAAUCCUUUUAAGCCUGAGGAAUAAGCACAGUAGGGAAUGAUUGUGUGGUGACUGUAGGGCUUGAAUAAGCACCGGCAAAUUACGUGCCAGCAGCCGCGGUAACACGUAAGGUGCGAGCGUUGUUCGGAAUUAUUGGGCGUAAAGGGCAUGUAGGCGGAUGAGCAAGCUUGGUGUGAAAUGCUACAGCUUAACUGUGGGACAGCAUUGAGAACUGCACAUCUUGAAUUACUGAAGGGUAACUAGAAUUCCACGUGUAGGGGUGAAAUCUGUAGAUAUGUGGAAGAAUACCAAUGGCGAAGGCAAGUUACCGGCAGAUAAUUGACGCUGAGGUGCGAAAGUGCGGGGAGCGAACAGGAUUAGAUACCCCUGUAGUC
rnacentral:rRNA from 1 species